GUGAGUUUGUGUGUGUGUGCCUGCUAGUGAGUGAGCUUGUAUGUGUGUCAGUGAGCUUGUCUGUAGGGAUCAUAUGUGUGUGUGUGUUAGUGAGCUCUUGUCUGUAAGGAGCAUGGGUGUGAUCGUGAGCUUGUCUGUAGUGAGCGUGUGUGUCAGUGAGCUUGUCUGUAGUGAGUGUGUGUGUCAGUGAGCGUGUGUGUCAGUGAGCGUGUGUCAGUGAGCUUGUCUGUAGUGA